CGCCUGUUUAUCAAAAACAUGGCUUUCUGACUAACAUGGGGGGUCGUGCCUUCCCGGUGGGUAUACGAGCCUAAACGGACGCGGUAAAUCGUGCUAAGGUAGCUAAAUUAUGGCCCAUUAAUUGUGGGUCCUGUGAAUGGUUUGACGAGUCCUCUACUGUCUCAAGGUUGUUUUGGUGAACUUGAAUUGAAUGUGCAAAUGCUUUCAUACGAAAGAAAGACGAGAAGACCCCGUGAAGUUAGAAAUUCCUAUUACAGCGUAAACCCACAUUGACUGUGUCAGCGUUAAAGAGCAGAUAGGGCUUUGGAUCUUUUUUUGAAGGUCCCGGCUUUAUGGCUUUUGAGCAGCGGAAUGUAGUUUUGACGAGUUUUGGCUGGGGCAGCAAAGAGGCAAAACUAGACCUUUUUAAUCACUAAACGGAUACGUUACGACCCACAAAACAUGAAAAUCGUGAUUAACAGAAGGAGUUACUCCGGGGAUAACAUGCGUAAUCUUCCUUGAUAGUUCUUAUAGAUGGGCGGGUUUGCGACCUCGAUGUUGGCUCUGGGUAUCCUGAGGCAUGCAGGCGGUCUCAAGGGUUGGUUCGUUCGCCCAUUAAAACCCGACGUGAUCUGAGUUCAGACCGG
rnacentral:rRNA from 1 species